AACGUGCCCAGUAAUGGGGGAUAGCCCGGCGAAAGCCGGAUUAAUACCGCAUACGACCUACGGGUGAAAGCGGGGGAUCGCAAGACCUCGCGUUAUUGGAGCGGCCGAUAUCAGAUUAGCUUGUUGGUGGGGUAAAAGCCUACCAAGGCGACGAUCUGUAGCUGGUCUGAGAGGACGACCAGCCACACUGGGACUGAGACACGGCCCAGACUCCUACGGGAGGCAGCAGUGGGGAAUUUUGGACAAUGGGCGCAAGCCUGAUCCAGCCAUGCCGCGUGUGG
rnacentral:rRNA from 1 species